UACGUAGGGGGCUAGCGUUGUUCGGAAUUACUGGGCGUAAAGCGCGCGUAGGCGGUUUUGCAAGCCAGAGGUGAAAUGCCUGAGCUCAACUUAGGAAUUGCCUUUGGGACUGCGAGGCUUUGAGGACGGGAGAGGUGAGUGGAAUUCCCAGUGUAGAGGUGAAAUUCGUAGAUAUUGGGAAGAACACCGGUGGCGAAGGCGGCUCACUGGCCCGUUUCUGACGCUGCAGCGCGAAAGCGUGGGGAUCAAACAGGG
rnacentral:rRNA from 1 species